GGGGAUGUAGCUCAGUGGGAGAGUUCUUGCUUUGUAAGCAUGAGGCUCUAGGCUCAUUCCCU
rnacentral:tRNA from 1 species